GGAGAUGUAGCUCACUGGUAGAGUAUGUGCCUAGCAUGCACAGGGCCCUGAGUUUGAUUCCUAGAACUUCA
rnacentral:tRNA from 1 species